ACUCUAAGAAUUCUGUGUCCUAGUACCAGUGUGCAGAGAAAACUGAGUAGAUGCUGGAUGAGCUGUGCCUACAAUUAUCUGCAAAAUGAAAGCUAAAAAGCCAAAGGCCUAUUUGUAGCUGAAUUACCAAACGCUGAGAGGAUCUGCCUGGCAGGAUCUGGGUUGGCUGUCCUCGCUGCCCAGAAACAGUGCACAGUUUUCUGCUAUCCAUCUCACUAGAGCUGGGGACUGUGGCAUCCCAAUCACAGCCAUUUGUAAGAGAGGAUCAUGGAAUGAAUACGGGCAUUGAGUCAAGCAGUCUGUGUUCCACUGGCGGUGUGACCUGGGGCAGGCCAUUUCACCUCACUGAGCCUUAGUUUCCUCACCUGUAAAAUGUGAAAAAUAUCACCUUCCUUACCAGGCUUUUCUGAGGAUUUAAUGACAUCAUGUUCAGUGCCCAGUAUGGGUGGAUAAUACCCAGGAGUUUCCUCCUCUUCUCCUCCUAAGUUGACUUGAUGCCCCCCGCUGAAGAUCAUGGCUGAACUGGCUCAAUUCGGAUCCAGGACUCCUGGCUUUGUCUCUUCCCUAGUUGCCCACCACACCCAUGGACACCCUUAGGUAGUUUAUCCUUUUGGGACAACUGGAUUUAUUAGAAAAGGGUAUUCUGGGGUGGAAUAAGGCCCUUUUCAGUCCCCAUGGAGCCUUUUUGGAAGAUGAAGUUCUCAAACCCACAAGAGAAUUCAUAAGACGAGCACACCACCCACAGUUAGGUUUCCCUCUCAAGUGCUUUAUCUCCACGUGGGGCAAAUAGCUCUUUGUCUGCAUAUGUUAUUGGAGCUUUUGGAGUCCAGCCUUCAGAAGAGCUCUAAUUUUUGGAUUCAUAUCAGUUUAUUAGAGAAGCCUAGUUCUAAGGAUUAGCAAAUGGGUAGGUGCUCAGCCAGCCCAGAACAAGCAGAGCCAUGACAGAAGUUUCUGGAAUCUCACAGAGUCGGUGUCUUCAUGGACUCAGGGGGCCUAAAUCCAAUAGCCUGGAUUUGUCACUUUCCCUUAUUCCCUUAUCAAACUCUUCCCUUUUGGACAUCAGAGAAGGAAAGUACUUCCUGUAAGGGGGCAAUUUGCAAAGCUUCAUGGAAGUGGCAUUUGAGUGUGGCCUUAAAGGAUGUGUAGGAUUGGGAACCAUAGAUAUUUAGAGGAAGGCAUUCCUGGCAGAAGGAACAGCAGCAAAACACAGAAGUGGAAAUUAGUAGCAGCAUUAAUGGAGAAUAAUUUGGGGAAUAAGAUAUACAAAUGGAAUAAUAAAAAUAGCAUUAAUUAAACAUUGUGGGAGUCAUUCUGUAAGAUGGCCCCUGGU
rnacentral:lncRNA from 1 species